GUUAGUGUUAAUUUAGUGUAGUUUAAGGGUUAAUAUAGUGUAUCGUAUAGAUGGGGUUAAUGGUUAGUGUUGGUUUAGUGGUUAUUGUAGUGUGGGGAUUAAUGUAGAGUAUCAGUUGUGUAGGGGUUAAUGGUUAGUGUUAAUUUAGUCCAGUUUAGAGAUUAUAGAGGUUAAUGUAGUGUAGGGGUUAAUGGUUAGUGUUACGUUAGUGUAGUUUAGGGGUUAAUGCAGUGUAUCAGUAGUGUAGGGGUUAAUGGAUAGUGUUAAGUUAGUGUAGUUUAGGGGUUAGUGCAGUGUAUCAGUAGUGUAGAGGUUAAUGGUUAGUGUUAGUCUAGGGGUUAAUACAGUGUGUCAGUAGUGUAGGGGUUAAUGGUUAGUGUUAGUUUAGGGGUUAAUGUAGUGUUUGGGUUAAUGUAGAGUAUCGGCAGUGUAGGGAUUCAUAGUUAGUGUUAAUUUAGUGUAGUUUAUAGGUUAAUGCAAUGUAUCAUUAGUGUAGGGAUUAAUUGUUAAUGUUCGUUUAGUGUAGUUUAGGGGUUAAUGCUGUGUAUCAGUAGUGUAGGGGUUAAUGGUUAGUGUAGUUUAGGGGUUAAUGUAGUGUUAUGGUUAAUGUAGUGUAGUAAUCGGCAGUGUAGGGGUUAAUGGUUAGUGUUAAUUUAGUGUAGUUUAGGGGUUAAUGUAAUGUAUCAGUAGUGUAGGUGUUAAUG